GACGAACCGUGCGAACGUUGUUCGGAAUCACUGGGCUUAAAGGGCGCGUAGGCGGGCGGCCGCGUCCGGGGUGAAAUCCCACGGCUCAACCGUGGAACGGCCUCGGAUACGGGCGGCCUCGAGGGGGGUAGGGGCAUCUGGAACUGUGAGUGGAGCGGUGAAAUGCGUUGAUAUUCACAGGAACUCCGGUGGCGAAGGCGAGGUGCUGGACCCCAUCUGACGCUGAGGCGCGAAAGCCAGGGGAGCGGAACGGG
rnacentral:rRNA from 1 species